rnacentral:rRNA from 1 species
UACGUAGGGGCCGAGCGUUGUCCGGAGUUAUUGGGCGUAAAGCGCGCGCAGGCGGCUUGGCGCGCCCGACGUGAAAGCCCCCGGCUUAACCGGGGAGGGUCGUCGGGUACGGCCAGGCUUGAGGGCGGGAGAGGGUGGUGGAAUUCCCGGUGUAGUGGUGAAAUGCGUAGAGAUCGGGAGGAACACCUGUGGCGAAGGCGGCCACCUGGGCCGACCCUGACGCUGAGGAGCGAAAGCGUGGGGAGCGAACAGG